rnacentral:rRNA from 1 species
UAUCUCUGUAGAGUCUGCAUAUCAAUAAGCGGAGGAAAAGAAACUAACUAGGAUUCCCUUAGUAACGGCGAGUGAAGCGGGAAGAGCUCAAAUUUGAAAUCUUCAAGGUUCUACCUUGACGAAUUGUAGUUUAAAGAAGUGUUUUCUGUUAGAGUUUGAGUAGCAAAAGUUCCUUGGAAUAGGACAUCAUAGAGGGUGAGAAUCCCGUAUUUGACCAUUAUUUCCAGCUUUGUGAUACACUUUCAAAGAGUCGGAUUGUUUGGGAAUGCAGUCCAAAAUGGGUGGUAAAUUUCAUCUAAAGCUAAAUACUGGCGAGAGACCGAUAGCGAACAAGUACCGUGAGGGAAAGAUGAAAAGAACUUUGAAAAGAGAGUUAAACAGUACGUGAAAUUGUCAAAAGGGAAGCGUUUGACACCAGUGUUGUUUUCUCGAAAAUCAAUUAAAAAAUGGCAUGAUUUUGUGUUGUAUUGACCUUUAUCAAGCUUUCUUCACUCUUUUUCAUUGUCUUUUUUAAUGCACUUUUCGUUUAACAAGUCAACAUCAGUUUCUUUUGUUGUAAAAGGGUCAUUGGAAGGUGGCUUUCUUUUCGGAGAAAGUGUUUAUAGCCUUUGCCUCUGCAAUCGGAGAGAUUGAGGUCUGCAGCGUAGAUCCUUCUGGAUUAGAUACAUUUGUGCUAAGUUAUAACCGUUUCAUAGACAACUUGUUGACUAUGAUCGAUCAUGUAGCUUACUCGCUUAUGCUAUUUUACCUACGCUUAGGAUGUUGAAGAUGUAGCACAUCAU